rnacentral:lncRNA from 1 species
AGAGAAGGGCAGGGGAGGAGUGAGGGCUUGGCAGGGCUCUCCCCAAAGGGUGCCUGAAGCGUGAGUCCAGUGGUCCUGAAUUCCUGUGAGGGUAGGUCCUCCCUGCAAGUGGGUCCCCAAGGCCCAUAUGACAAUGUGAGGCUUGGAUAUCCUGGCACUGGUGCAGGGCAAAGCAAGUUUCAGAGGAGGAGAGAGGAAGACGCCUAGCAUCUUUGGGGCAGGGGGCUGCUGGGGAGGGGGAUUGGAAGGCUGGCAUAUAUGAGGGACACUCGGUGGUAAAAAGGAGCAGGAUCUGGGGACUGAUGGGUAGAUACUGGGGGUCAUGACUCCUGACUUGGGCAGCCAAGGAUACAGUGGGAUGGAGGACAAAUGGGCAGUCUCGGGUCCCUGGGGAACUGUGGGGCAUCUGAGCUGUGCCCCAGACCCAGGUCUCAGCCCUUUCCUUGCAUUGUCUCACGUCAGCCUUUCACUAGCCCUGAGAUGCUUGGGAACUGGCCUUGUCCCCAUUUUACAGAUGAAUACACUGAGGCCCAGGGAGGUUAAAUUGCUGACCCAGCCAGGAAGGGACAGUGCUGGAUUUGAAUCCAUGCAACUGCCUCUGGAAGCUACUUCGGUCGUCGUAAUUCCCAAAUGUUAUAUAACCCUGUGCAUGGGGAGGGGAGAGCAGGGCUCCCUGUGGCUGGAAUCAGGCCUCGGAAUUUUCCAGAGACCAGAUUUCAGAGUCUGGCCCAGCCAAGCCACCAGGGAUAGGAAACACCUUGUGAGUUGUCACAUGCCCUCCUGGCAUGUCCACUGGGGGCACCAAGGUCACGGGAGACUCUGAGGGGGCCCCAGUGCAUUUGGUGGAGCAAGACUCUGGCACCUUUGCAGGGGAGCGGCUUCAGCACCAGGGCCAAGGACUCCGGGCCAGUGCAGGGGGCCAGGAGCCCAAGUCCCUGCUAAUGAGAACCAGGUGCAGUGUGACAGAGGAAGGCAGCUUGGGGUCCGUGGGUCUGAGCCAGCAUAUCGUUGAUGCCCUGGAACCCACAGGGGCAGGGAGCCAGUUCCUUGUCGGUAGCACAGCUCUGCUGCCCUGCUAAUUCAGGUAUUUGUGCAGAGACAGUGACAGAUCUGCCCCACCCUUAUGAAACUCUGAACAGGAGAUCACCCAGACCUAACCAAAGCUGAGGAUCGGGGUAGCUUCCAGAGGCCACCCUGAGAAAGCCAGGCCCCUUCCUGGCAGUGGCUUAUCCCUGAGGUAGGUGCUGUUCUUAGCCCCGUGUUACAGAUGAUGAAACUGAGGCUCAGGAGGGCACCUGCAAGUCAGAGUCACCUGUCUUGAGCUCCUGCCCAACCUCCAUCCUGCACCCCAGGCCUCUCUCUUCUCCCCACCUCCAGGGAGCCCAUGAGGAGCACUUAGGCUGGGGCAGACGGCUGAGCCCAUUGGACUCCCAGAAGCUUCCUGGGGGAAAGAAAUUCAAAGUUCUGGCACUUCACAGCAGGCCUGUCAGCUGACACCCUCUGCAGACACCAGCUCUCCCCCUGUCCCCACAGCCUGCUGUUUUUCUGGCUGAGCCUCCACCACGGGCCUGGGGAGACCUCCCUUUCACAGCCUGCACCCUCCUGGGCGGGAACACUUCCUCCAGCACUCUGGAAUGGAAAAACUUUAUAAUAAAAUAAAAAGCUUAGUUGUUUAUAGCAGCCCUAUUUACAACAGCCAAAAGGUGGAAACCACCUGGGUGUCCAUUGACCAAUGAUGGAUAAACAUACUGUGUUCCCUUCUUACAAAGGAGUAUGAUUCAGCCUUAAAAAGGCAGGAGAUGGAGUUCCCAGCAUGCCUCAGCAGUAAACGAAUCUGACUAGCAUCCAUGAGGUCGCAGGUUCGAUCCCUAGCCUCGCUCAGUGGGUUAAGGAUCUGGCAUUGCCAUGAGUUGUGGUGUAGGUCACAGACUCAGCUUGGAUCCUGUGUUGCUGUGGCCAGCAGCUGUAGCUCCAAUUCAACCCCUAGCCUAGGAACCUCCAUAUGCUGAGGGCAAGGCCCUAAAAAGCAAAACUAACUAAAUAAAUAAAAAGGCAGGAGAUUCUGACACCUGUUCCAAUGUGGAUGGACCUUGAGGACAUGAUGCUCAGUGAGAGAAGCCAGACAGAGAAGGACAAAGACUGUCUGACUCCACUCCGGGGGUCCCUAGAGAAGUCAGAUCCACAGAGACAGGCAGGAGAUGGUGGGGCAGGGGCUGCGGGAGUGGAUGUUUCAUGAGGACAGAGUUUCAGUUUAGGAAGAUGAGAAAAUUCUGGAGAUGAUGGUGGGGAUGCUUCUACAACAGUGUGAAUGUGCUUAAUGCUGCUGAGCUGUGCACUUAGAAACAGUUAAGAACAGGAGUUACCUGUGGCUCAUCAGGUUAAGGAUCCGACAUUGUCACUGUUGUGGUGUGGGUUCAAUCUCUGGCCUGGGACUGUCAUGCUGUGUACACGGCCAACAAAAAUGACCAAAAAAAAUAGUUAAGAUGGUGAAUUUUGUCUUAUUGUAUAUUUCACCACAAUAAAAAGUGAAAGCCAUCUUAGAUUCCCCACCCUCAAAAACCACAGGGUUAGGGGGCUGACACCCCCAUUUUACAGAUGAGCAAACUGAAGCACCGUAUGUGUGGCAAACACAGGGUUGCAGUUUUGCAAAGGAGCAGGCGCUGGGUCGCUGAAUAGGGCUAUGUGACUCUCCCAAGCUGACCCCUGACAGGCUCAGGAGGCCAGGGUGGCCGUGGGCUGUUACCCUGGCCUGAUCACUCGGCCCCCUGAGUCCCUGCACUCCGGGCCACAGGUUUGACUCCUUUCCAGCCUGUUCUUUCCCUGACCUGAGAUAACUCCCCAGACUCAGCAGAUUUCCUGGGAGAAGCGCCGUGGAGCCUUGCUCAAAAUACCUGCUUCAGGUGGAGGGCUGGCUGCUGAGACAGCGCAGGGGCACGAGGACUAGAGAGGCUCCCUGGGGGAGGCAGGCACAUGGCCUGGGCACAGCCCCCUCCCUCCAGAACCAGGGAGGAAGCAGGCAGGCCAGGAGUGACUCAGCCUGGCUCCUGGGUCCCUCUCUAGCCUCUUGCCUCCUGGACUUUGAAAUGCAGUGAAUGCCCUCCUGCCUGUACUUGAGAGCCUUCAGCCAGCCUUCUAAGUUCCCUGGGGACCAGCCUUGGCAGCAGAGUGGGCGGAAGGGGACCUCACCACUGUGUUCCAGAAACCCCAUGACUUCAGCUGCCCACUGCCUGGAGGCUGGCCUUGCUGGGGGGCAGGGGCGCCUGCACCUGGGUGCCCUCUCCCCUGAGCAUCCAUCCUCCAGGAACAAAUAUUGCCCUGGCCUCUCCCAGCACCAGUUGUUACUAGCUUCUUCUAGUAGCACUGUCCUCUUUUGUCCUCGAGAACACCUCUCUGUGGGCUUUUUCCCACCUUUCUCGCCUUUCCCUUUGAGGCUCCUCCUUCUCCUGGAGCCCAGGCUCCAUUCAGAGGCCCCCUGUCCCCUUCCUGCACUCUCUUUGGCUGAUGUGGUCCAGGCUAGCAGGAGACUGACAUGGGCAGCUUGCCUCUCCUCCCUCUCUCAGUCUGGUCUCCACCAGAAGCAGAGCCUGAAGCAAGGGUUUAGUGCAGUGAGUUGAUUUAAAAGCAGGAGAGAGGGGCUGGGCUGGGCAGGAUGAGGCAGGAUGGGGCCUGGUGACCAUUGGGAGCCCCUGAGCAGAUCCUUCCUAGGACUGCCUGCCCACAGGGAUGGCGAGGGGUGCAUCGACCCCCUGGCAUCUGCCCCUCAUUGGCUGAGGCCUCCACCCUGGAUGUUGGUGGACCUGUACACUGUGCUUGGCAUGGCUCCCACAUGGUCCUCACUGCAGCUUGGACAGUGAUGGUUUGAAAGGUGGGACAGGAAGGUGUGUGAGGGCACUGGGGGACCUCAGCAGAACCUUACCUGGGUUCAGCCACUCCGACCUCUUCCCUUUGACCUGUGAUACCAGGACACAGCCAGGGCGAGGGGGUGGACAGGGCCAGAGGGGGGAUCCAGAGUGCAAUUUUGGGGACAUUGCCCUCAAGAUGCCUGGCAGGGAGUCCCAGGGUGGUGCAGAAAAGGUGGAGCUGAAGAUACCCAGCAGCCUCCCUAGAAGCCAGGGCCAGGAUCAGCAGCAUUGAGGACAGCUACAGCCAGGCUGGAGGACAUGAUAUGUUUGGGCCCUCAAAGUCUCACAUAACUGGGGGAUGGCUGAGAGCUGGACUCAGGGGAUGCUCUGGGACCCAGGGACAGGAAGUCCAAUCUCUUCCUUCCAGCAAGAAGCCCUCUAGAGCCAAAUCAUCCACAAGGCUGCUAGAGGGCCCCAUGCCCCCCUCUCCCCCAUUAAGCACUCACUCAUCCUGGUCCAGUCACCCCGGCCUCUCUAUCAGUCCAAGAUCCCAUACCAAGCUCAUGGCACAUGCCAUUUGUAUGUGCCUUUGCACAUGCCAUUCUCUCUUCCCCAAACCUUCCUUGUUCCCUAGUCUUCACCCAGUGGCUCCUACUGGAAUGCAGGCAAAGGUGACCCACACGCUUGGGGCACCCUCACAACCCGAAAUCAUGUUAUUUCCUUGCUAGUUUGCUGGUUUCUGUCCCACGGGACUGGGGGUUCCACCAAGAGACAGGUUGUAUGUUUUCUCAGUGUGUCCCCUGUAGGCGGUAACCCAAAGCAGGUCUUGGGCAGGUCCAGACCCUCCCUGAGCUGCCCCAGAUCCAGCUGCUGUGUGCGGUAUCCUUGGGGUCCCGAGUGAGCACUGCUCCCCCAGGUGGAAACUCUUUCCCCAGUGUUCUCAGCUGAAUGGCGUCUCAGCCUCUGUUCAGGGACAUUGACUCUGGCUGCUUGUAAAGUGCUGGGUGGGCAUCAGAACCAGCCAGAGUUCCACAAGAAUAAUCCCUAUUUCAUCUGCUUGGGUCUUUUGACCAAUUAUGAGAGAACUAGCCCAAUGUUGUGUGGGUUCCUGGAUGCAAUCCUGGAACAGACAAGGGAAAUUAGUUAAAAAAACAAAAAAAAAACUGGUAGAAUCCAAAUAAAAUUUGGAGUUUGGUCAACAGGCAGUGUAAUGACUAAUAUUAUUAAUUAGUCGUGGUAAUAUGCUAAUGUCAAUAUCAGUUCUUUAGAGGUGACAAAAUACUGCAAACUUGGUAGCUUAAGAAAACACACAUUUAGGAGUUCCCGUUGUGGCGCAGUGGUUAAGAGAACCCACUAGGAACCAUGAGGUUGCAGGUUCGAUCCCUGGCCUUGCUCAGUGGGUUAAGGAUCCGGCGUUGCCGUGAGCUGUGGUGUAGGUCACAGAUGUGGCUUGGAUCCCGCGUUGCUGUGGCUCUGGUGUAGACUGGUGGCGACAGCUCUGAUUAGACCCCUAGCCUGGGAACCUCCAUAUGCCAUGGGAGCGGCCCUAGAAAAGGCAAAAAG